UUUUUGUUUUUACUGAUUCACUUCUAUCGACAUUUUUUUAUGUCCCUUUUUAUGACCAGCUUGGUCAUUUGGUCUGGAUGGAGUCAUUCAACUCGGAAAGAAAAAAGAAUUUGAGAAUGCUUUAUCUUUCAUGCAAUAGUUGCGGUCAAUUGUUCUUGGUUUUUCCUGUAGUAGUUGAUAAUCAGUCUGAACAAUAGUAGAUUAGUAAAGCCAAUAGCAGUUAAUUUGAGACGACUUUUAUCUUCCCUACAGUAGUUAAGGUUGAUUGUUCUUAGUUUUCCCUGUAGUGUUUAAUUUGAUUGUUCUGAGCAUUCAAAUUGUACUCUGUUUGUUUCUCUCCUACUCUUUUCUGACAAAUGUUAUUAUCUGUGCUUCAUUACUACUCUCUCUAAAUCAUGUGAGAGUUGAAUGAUGUUGCAGGAUAACUAUUGAUGGUGAAAAGAUUGUUGUUUUUUAUACUGGUAUAGGGGGGGUAUAAUACAAAUGGUCCUUCAAAUCCAGUUGGAAGCUCCUCCCUGUAAUUGAUGAAGGCAGGAUUUACUAUUUCUAGGGAGUAAGAGGUUUAUUUGUUGAACCAUGAUAUCUAAGGGAGUAAGAGGCAACGUCCAGGGGUAUCUAAGAGAGCUGGUCCAGGCUUGAUGGAAAUCGCUUAGUACAUUCAUGGGAUCACAAACUUUUGGCGUUGGUUGAGAUUAGUGACGCAGGACCAUUAAUAACUAGAAGACUGUGACAAUUAACUUACUGUUUCAUGAAUUAGAGAGGCUGGGUUGGACCAACUCCAUGUUACAGGCCCUUUCCUCAUUGCAUUUCUCUUGACAUUAAAUUGAUUAAAUUAUAAUUUCAGUAGGAAAUCUACAACAUACUCAGAUCAUUAUGAUUACUCUUUCCUGUUUUUGUUUCUAUAUCUAAUUGAUAUAUAGAUUUUGCAUCUUGUCCUAUGACAUGUACUUCUGUAGUUGUGUCCAUUGGACUUACUCUUUUCAUUGUGGCAUCAUGAUUCCUCCUUUUCUUGGCUUGCUAUAUAUGUUUGUUUCAUGGUC